GACGAACGCUGGCGGCGUGCUUAACACAUGCAAGUCGAACGGAAAGGCCCUGCUUUUGUGGGGUGCUCGAGUGGCGAACGGGUGAGUAACACGUGAGUAACCUGCCCUUGACUUUGGGGUAACUUCAGGAAACUGGGGCUAAUACCGGAUAGGAGCUCCUGCUGCAUGGUGGGGGUUGGAAAGUCUCGGCGGUUGGGGAUGGACUGGCGGCUUAUCAGCUUGUUGGUGGGGUAGUGGCUUACCAAGGCUGUGACGGGUAGGCGGCCGGGGAGGGUGACCGGCCACAUUGGGACUAAGAUACGGCCCAGACUCCUACGGGAGGCAGCAGUGGGGAAUCUUGCCCAAUGGGCGGAAGCCUGAUGCAGCAACGCCGCGUGCGGGAUGACGGCCUUCGGGUUGUGAACCGCUUUCGCCUGUGACGAAGCGUGAGUGACGGUAAUGGGUAAAGAAGCACCGGCUAACUACGUG
rnacentral:rRNA from 1 species